UACGGAGGGUGCGAGCGUUGUCCGGAAUCAUUGGGCGUAAAGGGCGCGUAGGUGGCGGGACAAGCGUGCGGUGAAAGCCUGGGGCUCAACCCCGGGUCGGCCGUGCGAACUGUUUUGCUUGAGCACUGUAGAGGCAGGCGGAAUUCCGGGUGUAGCGGUGGAAUGCGUAGAGAUCCGGAAGAACACCGGUGGCGAAGGCGGCCUGCUGGGCAGUAGCUGACACUGAGGCGCAGACACUGGGAGGGCAAACAGG
rnacentral:rRNA from 1 species